GAGCNUUAUCCGGAUUUAUUGGGUUUAAAGGGAGCGUAGGUGGAUUGUUAAGUCAGUUGUGAAAGUUUGCGGCUCAACCGUAAAAUUGCAGUUGAAACUGGCAGUCUUGAGUACAGUAGAGGUGGGCGGAAUUCGUGGUGUAGCGGUGAAAUGCUUAGAUAUCACGAAGAACUCCGAUUGCGAAGGCAGCUCACUGGACUGCAACUGACACUGAGGCUCGAAAGUGUGGGUAUCAAACAGGAUUAGAUACCCUGGUAGUCCACACAGUAAACGAUGAAUACUCGCUGUUUGCGAUAUACGGCAAGCGGCCAAGCGAAAGCAUUAAGUAUUCCACCUGGGGAGUACGCCGGCAACGGUGAAACUCAAAGGAAUUGACGGGGGCCCGCACAAGCGGAGGAACAUGUGGUUUAAUUCGAUGAUACGCGAGGAACCUUACCCGGGCUUAAAUUGCAGAUGAAUUACGGUGAAAGCCGUAAGCCGCGAGGCAUCUGUGAAGGUGCUGCAUGGUUGUCGUCAGCUCGUGCCGUGAGGUGUCGGCUUAAGUGCCAUAACGAGCGCAACCCUUGUUGUCAGUUACUAACAGGUUCCGCUGAGGACUCUGACAAGACUGCCAAUCGUAAGAUGUGAGGAAGGUGGGGAUGACGUCAAAUCAGCACGGCCCUUACGUCCGGGGCUACACACGUGUUACAAUGGGGGGUACAGAGGGCCGCUACCACGCGAGUGGAUGCCAAUCCCAAAAACCUCUCUCAGUUCGGACUGGAGUCUGCAACCCGACUCCACGAAGCUGGAUUCGCUAGUAAUCGCGCAUCAGCCACGGCGCGGUGAAUACGUUCCCGGGCCUUGUACACACCGCCCGU
rnacentral:rRNA from 1 species